GUUGUUGCAGUUAAAAAGCUCGUAGUUGAAUUUCGGGAUCAAAGAAUCGGUCAUGCCUUGGUAUGUACUGGUUUUAUUGGUUCUCACCUUCUAAAGAACCAUAAUGUCAUUUAUUUGAUGUUAUGGGGAAUUAGGACUGUUACCUUGAAAAAAUAGAGUGUUUAAAGCAAGCUUACGCUUGAAUACAUUAGCAUGGAAUAAUGAAAUAGGACAUCAGACUCUAUUUUGUUGGUUUCUAGGAUCGAUGUAAUGAUUAAUAGGGAUAGUUGGGGGCAUUAGUAUUCAAUUGUCAGAGGUGAAAUUCUUGGAUUAAUUGAAGACUAACUACUGCGAAAGCAUUUGCCAAGGAUGUUUUCAUUAAUCAAGAACGAAAGUUAGGGGAUCGAAGACGAUCAGAUACCGUCGUAGUCUUAACCAUAAACUAUGCCGACUAGGGAUCGGAUGAUGUUAAUUUUAUAAUGACUCAUUCGGCGCCUUACGGGAAAC
rnacentral:rRNA from 1 species